rnacentral:rRNA from 1 species
AUUGAACGCUGGCGGCAUGCUUUACACAUGCAAGUCGAACGGCAGCACGGGCUUCGGCCUGGUGGCGAGUGGCGCACGGGUGAGUAAUAUAUCGGAACGUACCCAGAAGUGGGGGAUAACGUAGCGAAAGUUACGCUAAUACCGCAUACGAUCUAUGGAUGAAAGCAGGGGACCGCAAGGCCUUGUGCUCCUGGAGCGGCCGAUAUCUGAUUAGCUAGUUGGUGAGGUAAAGGCUCACCAAGGCGACGAUCAGUAGCUGGUCUGAGAGGACGACCAGCCACACUGGAACUGAGACACGGUCCAGACUCCUACGGGAGGCAGCAGUGGGGAAUUUUGGACAAUGGGCGCAAGCCUGAUCCAGCAAUGCCGCGUGAGUGAAGAAGGCCUUCGGGUUGUAAAGCUCUUUUGUCAGGGAAGAAACGGUAGAGGCUAAUAUCCUUUGCUAAUGACGGUACCUGAAGAAUAAGCACCGGCUAACUACGUG